CCUCCAUCCUCCCCGCACAGGAGGAUGGAACGAGGUACCCGACGCUCUCUGCCCUGACUGCGUCGAGACCUCCCACACGGCCGAGGGACCGCACACCCCCGGCCGGAGCAAACUCCGGGCUGCGGUGCCGGGCGGGCUGAGGGUCCCGCCGGGCGC
rnacentral:ncRNA from 1 species